AAUAAAUAAUUCAGUUACGGUUUCCGGUGCCCGGUGGGGCGCCGGAAUGAAAAGGGAACCCGGUGAAAAUCCGGGACAGUGCCCGCUGCUGUGAUCCUCCCGUCGGCCACAAUCGGGUCGGCGGACGAUCGCUUCCGAUGAGGCCACUGGUUCGCGCCCGCGAACCGGGAAGGCCGGAAGCGAGGGGAGAGUCAGAAGACCUGCCGUAAUGCAGUAAAUGCU
rnacentral:ncRNA from 2 species